UGCUGUGGUGCCGAGCUGGGUUCACGCUAUAACAUUGGCGACGAGGUAUUUGAACAGAAGAAAUUGAAAUGCCGGUGGGCAGAGUAGAGCCAUUUAAUGUGGAGGAAGAGAACUGGGAAGAAUAUGUCGAGCGUAUGGAAGAGUAUUUUGUGGCAAAUGACAUCACAGAUGAGGCCAAGAAACGUUCGACUCUGCUCUGCAACAUCGGAUCCAAGGCAUACGGUAUCGUACGAUCGCUACUAUCCCCUGUUAAACCGGCGAGUGCAACGUAUCAGCUGAUUGUGGAGAAACUAACGACCCAUUAUCACCCCAAGCCGUUGGUAACGGUCGCACGGUUUCGAUUUUUUUCAUGCUACCGUCUACCAGGAGAAUCGAUACAAACGUAUAUCGCUCGUCUCAGACAGUUCGCUGGUGAUUGUCAGUUCGGUACAUUUCUAGAAGAGAUGAUUCGCGACCGACUCGUAUGUGGUGUGAAGUCUGACCUGAUCCAGUCCAGGCUGUUGUCAGAACCCGAGUUGUCUCUGAAGAAAGCGACAGAGAUGGCGGUAGCCAUGGAGACAGCCGGUCGGAAUCUGCAGGAGCUGUCGGGAGCGGAGGCGGCCGAUCCGCCGCGACAAGAGGUGCAGCAGAUUCGGUCACAGCAGCGGAGCCGGCCGACCGCAGCGGGGCCAGCGACACAGCAGCGAGCUCCAAGGGGCCCAGCUCAGCAGGCUGGCAUGACACAUCACACAAGUAAGGCCUUGGAGGGCGGGAAAGAUAAGUGCUGGAGGUGUUUGAGUAACCGGCAUGCAGAAGAGGACUGUUAUUUUCGCCGAAAGAAAUGCUUUCAAUGUUUUCGUUAUGGACACACCAGUGCAGCCCACCGAGCUGGCACGGUGAACAGUGUGGGGAUGUUACCCGAGUCUGAGUCACAGGAGGGUGCCGAGGGUGGACUGGAGAUGGAAGUAGAGACUGGUGAGGUUGACGCUCUGGUUAGCGAUCUGUUCACAUGUGCAGAGGAGCGGCCGAGUCUGGUGAAGCCUCCAAUCAAGGUCGACGUCAGCAUCAACGGUCAGUCGGUGCAGAUGGAGCUGGACACCGGCGCCGCCGUCUCCGUCUGCACGUACCGCCGCUUCAAGGAGCUCUGGCCGGACGGAGACAGGUUGCUGCAGCCGAGCAGCCGUCUGCUUCGCACGUUCUCCGGUGAGAAGCUCUCAGUCCGAGGUGAGGCGUGGGUGAACGUGCUGUAUCAGGGUGUCAGUCAUCGAUUGCCAUUGACUGUGGUGGAGAGUAACGGUCCGAUGUUACUAGGCCGUAACUGGUUGGGAGAGAUCAAGUUGGACUGGCACAAUAUUUUUGCGAUGACUCUGAGUCCAGCCAUGGGAACACUGCUCGAAAAAUACUCCGAGCUAUUCAAGGACGAUCUGGGCUGUGCGAGGGAUGUAGAGCUCAACAUUCCAGUGGAUCCAGCCGUGAAGCCCAUCUUCUACAAGCCUCGGACGGUGCCACUCGCCUACCGGGAGAAGGUGGACGCCGAGUUGGAGCGGCAGAUCAAGGAAGGUUUGUUGGUGCCGGUCAAGUGGAACGACUGGGCGACGCCCAUCGUGACCUGCCAGAAGGCCUCAGGUGAGAUCAGAAUCGCAGCAGACUAUCGUCUCACAGUAAACAAGGUCACGCCGUUAGAAAAGUAUCCUCUGCCAAAAGUAGACGAGAUGUUCAGUAAACUACAAGGUGCGACAGUGUACAGUCAGAUAGAUUUGAAAAAUGCGUACAACCAUCUGCCAUUAGAGGAGAAGAGUCGCAAAUAUUUGGCCAUAAACACACACAAGGGCUUGUUGGUGCCAACCAGACUGGGAUACGGGUACGCGAGUGCUCCGGCCAUCUUUCAACGUUAUAUGGAAACUCUCUUGGCUGGAAUACCAGGGGUGGGAGUGUUCCUGGAUGAUGUCAUGAUCGCUGGAAAAACCCCACAGGACCACCAGAACUCGCUGGAGAUGGUGCUACAGCGGCUGGUGGCGGCCAACCUGCGCCUGCAAAAGAAGAAGUGCAAGUUUGGAGUGUCAUCUAUCACCUACCUGGGACACCGCAUCAGCGCGGACGGCGUGAGUCCGACCGACGACAAGCUGCUGGAGACUUGCCAGAGCCCGGCGAGACUCUGCACCUGGUGGAGAUGAUGGACGCUUCGCCAGUGACCGCCGCUGUGGUUCGACUGGCGACUGAACGUGACGCCACCCUCAGCAGAGUGCUGCAGUACACCCGAGACGGCUGGCCUGAGGACAGGAGCGGCGAGUCACCGGAGUUAAGUGCAUAUCGCACGAAGCAAGGUGUCGGGACUGGCCGGCGUCGGCAGGACAACACGCUGGCUACCCGGACACUGCAUCAACAUCUCGGGACUCAAGCUCACGGUCCGGCUGGACGACGGACGAGUCCUCCAGCGCCAUCUGGACCAGGUGGUCCCGAGAGCGGUCGCCGGGAACCAGGCCGUCCGACAGCCGACGGACUGGACGGCGGCGCCGCGGCCUCCUCAAACGCCGCCGACGUCGCUGCCGACAACUCCAACGUCGCAGGCGACGCCUUCACCGCCGACGCCCUCACCGCCGACGCCUUCACCGCCGACUCCCACGCCGCUUCCGCCACCGCCAGCGGAAUGUCCGGAACGGGAGAGGCCUUCGUCUCCCUCCCCAGUGGGGCGGCCGGCUCGUGGGUUGGAGGGACGGGGUGAGCUCAACUCACGAUUGAAGUGUGACGUCCAAUUGUCGCGAGGCGAGAGUGUUGAGUGUCGCGAGCCUGUGUCAGCGCCGCAGGUACCGCGCUAUAACCUGAGACCGAGAAAAUAGUUGUUAACUAGGGGGGAGGAAUGUGGUAGAUUGUCACACAGCCUCUUGGCUGGCGUGCCUGGGUGCGCCACUGGCCGCCCUAUCCGUCGUCCCUGAGAGCGGGCUUGCGCUCGCUUGACCUAUAGCCGGGGGCGCUCAGCUGUGCGGUGUGGGUUGAGUCUGGUCAGCUGAUCGAGUGGGAAUACAGUUCUGACCGGUGAU
rnacentral:misc_RNA from 1 species